rnacentral:rRNA from 1 species
AGCGAGAGAGAGCUGCUUUCUCGAGCGAGUGGCGAACGGGUGAGUAACGCGUGAGGAACCUGCCUCAAAGAGGAGGACAACAGUUGGAAACGACUGCUAAUACCGCAUAAGCCCACGGUGCCGCAUGGCACAGAGGGAAAAGGAGCAAUCCGCUUUGAGAUGGCCUCGCGUCCGAUUAGCUAGUUGGUGAGGUAACGGCCCACCAAGGCAACGAUCGGUAGCCGGACUGAGAGGUUGAACGGCCACAUUGGGACUGAGACACGGCCCAGACUCCUACGGGAGGCAGCAGUGGGGAAUAUUGCACAAUGGGGGAAACCCUGAUGCAGCGACGCCGCGUGGAGGAAGAAGGUCUUCGGAUUGUAAACUCCUGUUGUUGGGGAAGAUAAUGACGGUACCCAACAAGGAAGUGACGGCUAACUACGUGCCAGCAGCCGCGGUAAAACGUAGGUCACAAGCGUUGUCCGGAAUUACUGGGUGUAAAGGGAGCGCAGGCGGGAAGACAAGUUGGAAGUGAAAUCUAUGGGCUCAACCCAUAAACUGCUUUCAAAACUGUUUUUCUUGAGUAGUGCAGAGGUAGGCGGAAUUCCCGGUGUAGCGGUGGAAUGCGUAGAUAUCGGGAGGAACACCAGUGGCGAAGGCGGCCUACUGGGCACCA